rnacentral:lncRNA from 1 species
AUAAAAAAAAAAGGUGAGAAUGAGAGUGUACCUUGCAAGCAGGUAAUAAAGCACUAUCAUGAAAUAGAGUUAGUGCGCAAUGAUAAGUGUAAAAUGUCUCACACAAAACCAAUUAAAAUCAAACAAUAUCAAUUAUGCAAUUCACUUGAAUUAUUUUAGAAAUAAAUGUUAUGAAUAUUGGGUCCCCACUAAAGCCCAAUUGAUUUUGUAUGAAUUAAUCCCACAAAUUCCAUUAUUUUAGAAUUAUAAAAAAUUUAUUCAUGUUUAUUAAAAAUCAAGAGAAACAAAAUAUUAUUUGAAAAUCAAAGGAAAUUUGUGAAAGUACUUACUUGAAGGGAAAGGUAGUAAGUUUAUUAAAAACGAGAUUUUUGGUGACCCUAAACCUUAAGGAAAUACAGAAAAUUGAGGACUUAAAAUUAUUUGAAAACUUGAGUGAAUUUAAAAUUAUUUGAAAAAAAAAAAAAAACUAGAGUUUAGAAAAUUAAAUUUGAGAAUUGAAAUUUUGAAAAAUUAUUUAAAAAUGGGAGUUUUGAAAAUUAAAUUUGAGAAUUGGAAUUUUGAAAAAUUAUUUGUGAAUGGAAUUUUUAAAUUUUGAAAAUUAAAUUUUAGAAUUGGAAUUUUGAAAAAUUAUUUGAAAAUAGAAGUUUUUAAAAAUUGGAGUUUUGAAAAUUGGAGUUUUGAAAAUUGGAGUUUUGAAAAUUAUUUGAAGAUUGAAGUUUUGAAAGUUAAAAUUGGAAAUUGAAAUUUUGGAAAAUUAUUAGAGAAUUGAAGUUUUGAAAAUUGAAAUUUUGAAAAAUUAUUUGAGAAUGAGAUUUCUUAAAAAUUAAAUUUAAAAAUUAGAAUUUUGGAAAAUUAUUUGUGAAUGAAAUUUUUAAAAAUUAAAAUAAAUUUUCAACAUACAAGGAUAAAGAAACGAGAGGAUGGCAUAUGGCCGUCGGGAUACUGGGAAGAGCCCAAUCCGAAGUGGGGUUGGGCAAUGGGUGGACACAAAUGCACAUCCAUUUUAGAGACGCUGAUACCUCACUGAGUACUCCAAGUAUUGAUGGCUGGGACAUAUCAUUUCAUUGACCUUACCCCCGUUCUUGUAAAUCUUGAAGGUUGGAACACUUUUUAUGCUCUCGGCUUUUGCUACUGUUGGGCUCUCCUCCACUUCACCACCAAACUUCACACUAUGAGUUUCCUCCUCCCAUGAUUUUGGCAAUGCAGCCUGUGCCUGGGAUAGAGAUUCAGCAACCUCAAUGUCUCCAAGAAGUUCCCUCCUCAAGACCUCAUAAUAUUUCACUGUCUCUGCCCAUCGUCCAAGCUUCCCAUUUGAGACAGCUCUGUGAAGAAGAGCCUUGGUGUAAUUUGGUUGGAUCUUGAGGGCGUGGUUGCAGUCCUUCAACCUGCUCUAACCUGAAAGUGCUCCUCCAAUCUUCCAAAGACUGGUAAACUUCCUUCCUCCUUGCUACCCACGGCUCGCCUCCUUCAACUUCUCUAUCUAAUGCUCAUAUCAUCAUCAUUUGAAGCUCUCCCGUUCCAGCCAUCUCCCUAGCUCUGUUUUUCUCCCAAUCCCAAAAAGUCUCUUUCGUUUCUUGCUACUCCCUCUUUUCUCUGUUUUUUUCUUUUCUUCAACGUCCUCCUAAAAAAACCAAUUUUUUCUGCCACCAUUUCCUUUCCCCCCGGAUCAUCAUCUACCCAGCCUUUUCUUCUCUUCACCCAAAAGUUCCCUGUUCCAGCCAUCAUUCCUCGUUCAGAGUUGUCCCUCUCUCAACCACCACCAUGGCAAGUUGGUGGUCCUUGCCACACGUUUCAGCAGCUCGUUCAUGGAAGCCGUCCCCCACUCCUCCAAAAUGAAAAUCCCAGCUCUUCCCGGGUGACCAGCUAUCAUCCUCUGGUCCAAGAGGGGUCUACAGGAUCAUUACAAAUUUUAUUAAAAUCCCUAUCCCAAUAUGAAAGUUUGUUUGGAAGCACUUCGUAAAUAGUGUCUAUUUGCUUGAUCCCUCAAUUCUGUAGAAUACAAUAAAGAUAUUGUGUUUGUAUGGGGAUGGUUAUGAUAUCUUAUAUUGGAUAGAAAAAAAUGUUUAUGAUGCUAGAUAUACGUAUAUGAACUCUUAAUUAUGUGGACAUAUUUUAUAGUUAUAAAAGUCCAUCAAAUCUAAAACUGACGAUAUCUAUAUGCUUUCAUUGAAAGCAGAUUGUUAUAAAAUUGAAUUAUGUUAACUUGUGUGGUUAUCUAAUAACUUUAUGUUAUGUAUUUAUUCUGUGGUUAUCUAAUAUGUUGUGUAUUUCAUUGUAUAGUUGUUAGGCACAACUCACAAGCAGUGCUGAUGAGCAGCAUGGUUCAUAGACUUUUGGCUAUGGCAUCUUCUUUCUGGUCACAGUGGUGCAACAUUGGCUAUGGAGGUGCUGGACUCUUUGUCUCUUUUGCGGUUAUUGCUGUGGGUGCAAUCUCAUGGCACAUAUUGAGGAAGGAAAGUCUUGCGUUGCCACCAGGUCCUCGAGGCAUGCCUGUACUAGGCAACCUCCCAUUUCUACAUCCUGACCUUCACAGCUGCUUUGCUAAAAUGGCUCAAAAAUAUGGCCCGGUGAUGAGGCUUUGGCUCGGUAACAAGCUUACUGUUGUACUGAGCUCACCCUCUCUAGCAAAGGAGGUUCUUCGAGACAACGAUGCUAUUUUUGCGGACCGGGACACGCCAAUUGCAAUGCUAACGAUGACAUAUGGUGGCUCUGGGUUGAUAUGGGCGCGGUGUGACCAAAACUGGCGCAUGCUUCGGAAGGUUUGGGUUGGGGAGAUGCUAAGCAAAGUGAGCCUUGACAGGCUUUAUGCUCUUAGACACCGAGAGGUUUGGGAUUCGAUGAGAAGGAUAUAUGCAAAUGCAGGUACAUCAGUAAAUGUCAAUGAGCAUACCUUCUCGGCUAUGAUAAAUGUGAUUACCAGCAUGUUAUGGGGAAGAACCCUAGAAGGUGAGGAAAGAAGACAUGCAGACAAAGAGUUUCGACAAGUGGUGUGGGAAAUGUUUGACCUCUUAACAAAACCUGAUGUUUCAGAUCUUUUUCCUGUUUUGGCCCCAUUGGAUAUACAAGGCAAGAAUAGUAAGAUGAAGAAGCUAGGAUCAAGAUUGGAUCGGAUUUUCGACUUCAUCAUCAAUCACCAUGAAGUUAAAGGACUAAGCAUGGAAGGGAUAGAAAACAAAGAUAGAGAGCACAAGGAUUUACUACAGAUCUUUCUGCAGAAUGAGGAAGGCUCUAAGGGAAUCUUGGACAAGACUCAACUCAAGGCCUUGUUCUUAGUAAGUCUCUUGUCCAUAAUCUCUUUCCUUGUUCUUGCAGUGUCGUAAAAUUUAAUGAUAAUUUGGUGACAUAAUAACAAUUUCCUGCUUUUUGCAAAAUCAAAAUUAUCUGUCUUUUGAAACUCAUCUUGGCCAAAGCAUAAUUCUUGUAGUAGUAACCCCAAAGACUGUCAUAAAUCUCCUACCGAGUCAAGGGAACUUGCCUCGUUUGAUCCAAACUAAGAAGGUACUAGUUAGAUUUAGUAUCUACAAAGUUGGGUAAACUCAGUUAAUCUCCAAAUUGAGUUAAAAGAUUUCCUAGGAAGCACAACAUAAGAUUGAUGCAUGUCUAGGCUUAAGAUAAAUGUUGAAAAGUAGUGUUUCCUAGGUAGUUAGGAUAAAUUCUGGUCCAAAAUUCCAACCCUCACGCUUGGCUAGGGCCAAGAAAGUCGUUACAUCUGCUUGAAGAGGUGCUAAAAUUCAAGAAAGUGUUUUGACAAAACUUAAUACUUAAUUAAUUAAGUUGCUUUUAAGUUAAAUCAUUAUUAAGUUGUUGAGUUAAAAUUUAUUAUUUAAUUUUUUUAUUUUUAAGUAUUAAGGUUAUUUGAUAAAAUUAACUUAAAAUUUAUUUUAAAUUAUCAACUUGAAGUAUUUAGUUGCAUUAAUUUUAACUAAUAUUUAUCCUUAUUUGCUUUAAAUAAUGUUUAUUUCUAUGAAUUUUAAAUAAUAAAUUUGUUUGUUAAACACCUAUAUUUAAAAUAUUGUAAAUAUAUAAAAUAACCAUGAAAUAUUUAUUAUAAAAAGUGAGUUAUGAAUGUGGAAUUAUAGUUGUAAAAUAUAUUAUCAUUAGAUGUGAGCAAAUGAGGUAAAAAUAAAAAAUAAAAAAUAAAAUUAAGAAUAAAUUAUUUAUUUUAAUUUAAUCCUUAAAAUUACUUUAACUUUAAGUUGUGAUAUUAAGUUAUUUUACUAAAUAUAUUUAAUUUAAAUAAGGACUUAAAUUAAGUUAUUAAGUUAUAUUAAAUCGUUAAGUUGAUUUAUCAAACACCCUCUAAGUGUCAAAUGGAGCGUAGAAUUUUAGCCAUUGCUCAAUUGAUUAAUGUUGAUUGAUCAAUGGCUGAAUAUCUUGCCUAGUAUUAACUCCAACUGUUUUAGGUGAGAUUGGUUUGCAGCCAAUUCUUUCUGUAUGACAACAACUUACCACUUAAAUUUUGACAAUUAGGACAUGGUAGCAGCAGGAACAGAUACAGCAUCAAGCGCAGUAGAAUGGGCGAUGGCUGAACUGAUGAACAAACCCGAAAAAAUGGAAAGAGCCCAAAAAGAACUAGAACAAGUGGUUGGUAUGAACAAUAUGGUAGAAGAGACUCAUCUCCCAAAACUUCCUUUUCUAAAUGCCGUAGUAAAGGAAGUUCUAAGGUUACACCCUCCCGGACCAUUCCUGGUGCCUCGUCGCACUCGUGAGCCAUGUGUUCUAAGGGGCUAUACAAUUCCAAGCGGCACACAAGUCCUGGUAAAUGCGUGGGCGAUACAUAGAGAUCCUGAAUUUUGGGACAGUCCUUCAGAGUUUCAGCCUGAAAGGUUCUUGAGCGGGAGCUUGAAAUGUGAUUAUAGUGGAAAUGAUUUUCGAUAUCUUCCUUUCGGGUCAGGGAGGAGAAUUUGUGCAGGAGUUCCAUUAGCUGAGCGAAUAGUACCACAUAUCCUAGCUUCAAUGUUACAUUUGUUCGAUUGGAGGCUACCGGAUGGGGUGAAUGGUGUCGAUCUCACUGAGAAGUUUGGCCUAGUGUUAAGAAAAGCGACGCCCUUUGUCGCAAUUCCGAAGCCAAGACUAUCAAACCUAGACUUAUAUACUUAAAUGCAUGCUUUUUUUCUUCAAUGGAGUAGAUACUCAAAAUAAUGGCCUCUUUACUUAACCAAUUUUCAGGUGCUGUUAUAUUAGUUUGCAAUCUAAGAUUUCACUAGGACAGAAAAGUUUUUAAGUUUCACCUCAAUUAAGUCAAAAUAAGUUGAAACUUUGGGAAGGAAACUUCAAUUUACUCAAAUUCCAAAUGACAAGGCUAAAAAUUGUCAUAAGAAUUAGAGUUUACAUCUAAUAUUUUUUAUAAAGCAUUAAAUGGGUAUUUGAUAAAACUUAAUACUUAUUGCUUUAUUAUUUAAAUUGAUUUUAAAUUAAAUUAUUAUUAAGUUGUUAAUUUCAAACUUAUUAUUUAUUUUUUACUUUAAAUAUUAAAGUUGUUUGAUAAAAUCAAUUUAAAAUUUGUUUUAAAUCUAUCAAAAUGAUACACUUACCCUUAUUAAUUUUAACUAAUGUUUCUCCUCAUUGAUUUUAACUCAUAUUUAUUUUUAUUAAUUUUAAGUAAUAAUUUUAUUUAUAAAAAGUCUAUAUUUAAAGUAUUGUAGAUACAUAAGAUAAAUAUAAAAAUAUUUAUCAUAAAAAAUGAGUUAUGGAUGUGGAAUCAUGAUUCUAAAAUAUGCUUUCACCCAUAUAGGAAAUUGAGGUAAAAAUGAUUUGAGAUUAAAACUAAAUUUACUAUUUUAACUUAAUAUUAAGAGUUAAAAAUAAUUUUAAGAUGUAAUAUUAAUUUAUUUCACUAAAUAUGUUUAAUUUAUUUAAUGAUUUAAAUUAAGUUACUAAAUCAUAUUAAGCUAUUAAGUUGAUUUAUCAAACAUUCUAAAAGUUUAGAAUAUCUUGAGAGAUUGCUAACUUCAAUUUUUUUCUAGUGCAAUGGUAAACAAUAUUAAUUUAGUAUGCGUGAUAUAAUUGAUUACUCAAUAAUAGAUAAAUUUACGAUAAAACUGUAAAGGAACUUCCUAUUCAAUAUUUGAUUUAAGCUAAUUAAUACAAAGCCAAAAAUGUAGAACUUGUAGGUAUGCAUAUGCAACAAAGUUUAAUUCUUUAUGACUUCAAAAAUUUACAGUGUCAACUUAUUAAGCUUGACUUAUUUAGUGUCAUGUAGAUAAAAGAACUGAAAGGAUCUUAAUAUUAAUAACUUAUUCACCUAAAACUAUGCUUAUAACCUACGGCCAUAUAGCUUCAGUAUUAACUUAUCAUGUCACCAAGACCAUUUAUUCACCUUUACACCAAUCAUUGCUUAUAUUUGGCACCGCAUCAAUCAAACCAUUUCUAAGUAAGAAACCCCAUUUUCUCUCUAUUGCUAAGCUAAAGGGUGGUUGGAUAUGAAGGAGAUUUUGUUUUCUCAUAAAUUAAUUUAAUGCAUUCAUAUUUGCCCAUUCAAAGCAUAAUGUCAUGGACAUGGGUAUUUCCCAAGCUUAUAUGUGGUACUUAGACAACUCAAGCCGCUAAGUGAGCCUUUUCUCAACUUAACUUUUCAUACUAAGCAAUGUACACGAAUUGAACACUAUGAACAACAAAGGAAGCAACACUCAAAGAGUUUGAAAAAAAUGAAACUUGUGUUGCACUAAAAUGCUUUACGAGACUAAGAAUGCUCUUAAGUAUUUGGUGCCUUAACUAAAUGAGAUUAUCCCCUAUUUAUAGCCACCUAUAGAACUCUUUAAAACCCUCAACGGUUCUUUAUAUCUAUAGAAUUUUCUAUAAUUACCUACACAAAUCCUAUGUACAAGCUCUAUACAAGAUAUUUUCGGAACUCUCUAUAUUUCUCUACAUAUUUUUAUUGUCUUCCAUUCUUGUGUAGAAAUUUGUGAAUAUCUCUAGGCUUCUCUAAAAUCUUCCACACUUCUCCACUAGUAGACUAGUGUAGAUGAUUUUAGGGGUUUCGAAAGCUUUUUGUUCACUAUAAAAGCUCAAAUAAGUGUCAUUUUGAUAAGUUGUGACAAUAAGUUAACAAUCACCUUGUCUAUUUUUCAAGUUUAAUAUUUCAACUGGUAAUCCAUUUGAAUUGCCUCCUAUGCGAUGCUUGUAUUGAACUAGGUGAUCCUAAAGUUAAAUGUGAACAUUUUGCUAGUUAGAUUUGAUAGACAAGCAGUAACUGUUGUUUUGGUCACUUGAUUUCUGCAUUGACCACAUAAUGCUCACAUUUGCAUGUAGUAAGCUCAUUAGUUGUGGUUUCACGGUAAGGUGUCAAACUUAGUGACAACAUUAUUAUUGAUUAAGAAUAAUUGAACUAUUUCUAUGUUGAAGGAUGUACUCAUUUUCUAAGUAUUUUUAUUUUUCAAUGAAUUUGGCUUACUUACAAAAAUGAAAAGUAAUUUAGAAAUUCGUACCGUAAUUGAUUUUGGAUAUAUUUAUAAUCUAAAAGUUAAUUUUAUAGUGCAAUUUGCAUGAGUAAAUAUCAAACAAAGUCCUGGUUAUUUAUACUUUCAAAGACUAAGUUGUGGGUCUGGUCUGGCUGAACUGUCGAUCGACAAUAUCUUCGGUUCGGGUGGCGGCUGAACCAAUUGGCACCAUUGGCCUUAAAAGAUAGAUGGUUUGCAAAGCAACCAUUUUAGUUGUGAGAGUACAAUAAUAAAAAUUGAAUUGAGCAGUAUUUCAAACUAUAUAAUUCACGCCAAUCAUGAUAGAAGUUCAAGGUACAAGAAAACCAUUAUUCAUAAACAAAAAGUUUAGUUGCCUUUCAUUAGGCAUCACAAGCUGUUCCUCCAGGUCCCCCAAAGAGCAUAGCAUACCGCCGUGGCUCUCCCGUAUAUCCUUUAUAUGCCACUUGAUAACAAUUAGGAUUAGGGUUGUCUGUAAUUUCGAGCAAGCUUGUAUUUUUGGGUUCAAAAAGUAUAUUUGAGGAGUCAACAAGUUGCAUAUUACUAAUAAAGCAUGUCCUUGAAAAAUCAUUAGCAUCGAAAUGGCCACUACCCAUUGGUGGGGCUGGCUGAUUUAGAGGGCUAUAAGCCUUUCCUCCAAAUUGAAUCUCUGAGGCAGAGUCAGCCAUGGUUGUGAAUAUGGAUUUUGGCCAAUAACCAAUGAAUUCUUUUCUUCCAUGCUUUGUUUCAUGUGCCAUCCACCAAUUUCCUGAUUUUGGGUCCUACAGUCCAAAAGGACAAAAAAAUGCAUUAGUGGUGUAAAUAUUUUAGCAUAAAGUAUGUACCUAAGAACAUGAUAGUAAUGAGCAUGAUUAAUACGUAGUCUUGCAUACUUCAAUUUGGACGUGUGUUUAGCACUGAAAUAGAGAAAUUUUGGACUAAAUCACAAUAUUGUGUGCAAGAGGAAAACAUAAUUUUGAUAAGAGUGAGUUUUGAUUUUAAUGAUUGUUUUCUUUUAUUGAUGUUCUAAUUUAUAUUAAUUCAACAUAAUAUGAAUGAGCAACCGAAAAAAAUUAGGUUUUGUUCAAAAAGUGUUUUGAAAAACAAUUCUAAAAAAAAAAAAUUUAAGAAUAAUUUUUGAAAACUUUUCUUUCAUAUUUUGUAAAAUAAAAGUCUGUUUGAAAACCUGAAAUAUUAUUAAGUUGUUUUCUAUGUUUUUAAAUGUAUUUUUAAAAUAACUCUUAUAUGUAGUUUUUCAAUUUUAAUCAUUUUUUUAUAUUUGCAUAAUUAUUUUUUAAAAUAAUUAUUUUUAAAAAUAAAAAUAAAAACAACUCAAAUAUAUUAUCUGAAAACACCAUAUUUUUUGUUUUUAAGAAUAGAAAACUAUUUUCUAUUUUCUACUUAUCUAAAAACAUCAUAUGUAUGUAUGUAUAUAUGUAUAGUUUUUACCUUGAAAAUGAGUAUAUCCAACAUAUAUUGCACAUCCCCACCGUACUCGGAAAUCGGAAGUAUCUGACCCAAAUAGUUUUCUCGACUAAUUUGUACAAAACCAGGGCACAAAGAGUUGAAACACCCGGUUGUUCGAUAAUUAUCAGCCUAAUAUUGCAAACCAAAUAUACGUCUAAUUAACAUAUUCAAACCAACAAUUUUAUAUGAUAAAAUUUCAUGUAAAUAAAAGUUUCGAAGUCUUACAGUCCAAUAAGUAAAAGAUCUUGUGUGGUUGUCUCCAAACAAUUUCGGAUUUAUCUGAAAGCAUCCAAAAUAAAAAAUAAAAAAGUUACAACAUGCAUAUUAAAAGAGCUAGAAAAAUCAUUUUAGGAAGAUCAUAGAGUUAGAUCACUUACAGUCCAUCCGAAUUGUAUGUUAUUGGUUUGUUCAAGACUAUUCUGAAUCCAUAUCGAAGCUUCGCUGAAUUGGUUUUCUGAAACUUUUACGUUACGGAUGUUGAUCUUUGCUGCAGCUCCACAAUAUCCUUUGGACGUGUCUGGUGCUGUUUUGACCAGUUGGAACUUCAUGCAAGACACGAACAUGAAUCAAUACUUUAUUUCAAUUAAUUUUUUGACAUGUCUAAUGUUGUGUGUAUACAUCAUGAGUUGGAAAAGAUCGGAAGGCUUACAUGAAAUCCAAAAUAUUUUGAGGUAGAUGGAUGAGCAUUUGCAUUUGCGCGAUAAUGAUUUGAGACGGCUUUUGCUGCAACUAAAUCUUCCUUCCUAGUCCUUCGUACGAGGACUGUUCCUUCGGGACAUUUUUCCAGUGUCUUGGGCAUGGGGUGUUGCGGUAUUGAAUCUCUAAUGUUUGGAAUUUCUUUAGGGAGAGAGCUAGGUGUCAUCUGUUUACAAGGUAUUUAGACAUGAAUCAGUUCAUUUCUAAUAAGAGAAUCAAUCAUAAGAAUAUAAAAAAUGAGAAAAAUGGGUUAUGAUUCACUAAUUUGAAAAUAUAUCCACAAAUUUUUUAAAUCGGUUUUAUUUUCAUCCAUUUGAAGAAAAACCUCAAAUAAUUAUUUCUUGAGAUGAUCCUUUCACUUGUUAUAUCAAUAAUGCUAAUUAGCAAGUCAAUAAAAUAGAUGUUUAAUUGUAAUGAACCGAUCUCCCUUUUACUUUUAUUUUUUUUUUAAAUAAAAAAUAAAAAUCAUGAGGUCGGACUUAAGAUUUAAAAAAAAAAAAAAAAUACAACUAAAACUAAAAUACUUAAAAAUUAAAUACAAAUAAAACAAAAAAAAAACUUAAAAAAUAAGUAUAUGAUAUCUAUAUUUUUAACUAACAUAUUUUACCAACAAAAUGAAAGUCAAUAUUUUAUUUUUAUAUUUUUAGCUUUCAAAUUUUUUAAAAUUUUUUAUUUUAUUCUCCAUGUUAACCAAUAAAAAUUUUAUUCAAUUAUAUUAAAAUAUAUAUAUAAUAUAAAUAUAAAAUCAUUAUUAACUAAAAAAUUAGAAAAUAUUUUAUUUAUCAUUUGAGAAUCCUUAAAAAAUUUCCACAAUGAUUUGUACCUCAUAUUAAAUAAUAAAAAUUUAUAAUAUAUUUAUCUAUAAUAUAUUUUUAUUACUUUAAAAUGAUAAAUUAUUUUUUUGAUAAUUUUAUUUAAUAUUAUUAAGUAAAAUAUCAUUUCAAAAAAUAAUUAUCAGACUUAUAAAAAAGUGCAUGUAUUUUAAAAUAUUUUUAAAUUGAUGAAGAUAAAACUGAGAUUCUCCUUUUUUUCAUAAGUUUUUUUUUUUUUCCUUUUUUAUCUAUCACUUAACAAAAAAACAUGUUUUCUUUUUCAGAAGGGAUUUGCAUUUACCUGGAUUUUAUGAUCUUUAAGCAAUGGGUGAUCAAAAGCAGGUUGCUUGUUGAUAUCAAUGCAAUCCAGAAUGCUUCCAUCCACAUCCUGUCAUACAUAAAUAUGCAUCCAUUAGAUUUUUAAUUCUAAAGAUGUUAGUAAUGGAACAAACUGAUGAACUAAACUACCAAAAAUGUGCAUAUUCAUAUUUUUCCGAGAACCAAACAUAACCCUAUUGUUUUAUUCAAAUAUUUGAUACAAACAAGCGAGACUCCGAAUCAAAGUGCACUACAACUUUCAGGAGGGUAGAUUAAAGUAGAAAUUGAAAAUCCUUGUUUGAGAAGAAAAAAAUGAAACCAAAAACUUGAAAAUUAAAAUGGUGAGACCUGGAAGGAUUUAACAGGCGGUUUAUUCAAAAUCUUGAGUUGUCUUUCUAGCUCGGACUCUUCUUUCUCCAGGACACUAAUAUUUCUUUGGCUCCUCCAAUUUAGACCAAGAAAAAUUAGUGCAAAAACAAGUAAAAUCUUCAUCUUGCUAGCAUCAAGCAGUUUCUGAAUCUAAGUCUAUUAGACUUUUAUGCAUAGGCUCAACCAUUAAUGAAAAUUAAUAGUUAAUACUACGAUUGUUUUUUUUUUUUUUUUUUUGGUGCUGCAAUUAAUGGAAAUUAGUUGCAGAAAUGAAUCAAAUAAUAAUUUUUCUGUAAGGGAGUACUACCUUUAGUGUGGAUAUCCCCAUUUUUGCUAUUAGACUUUUGCAUAUAUAGCUCAACCUAUUAAUGUUGAAAUGAAGAUAUAAUUAGCAUAUAUAUGUAUGUGGUAUAUUUUUUCUGGUUAUGUCAUUAAUGCAAAUUAAUGGCAUAAUGUAUAGAAUGAGUUUUCUAUACACCACCCCAUUUAUUUAAAAUAAUUUUCAUCUUUGUCCCAUUAAAAAAAAAAAAAAAAAAAAAAAAAAAAAUCUUAUUCCCCUUUUAACCUUUUUUGAAAAUUUUCUAAUUUAAUUACAUUAAAAAAUAAAUAUUUUAUAAAUAAUUAAAAUAUUAAAAAAAUUGUAAACUAUUUUAUUGAAAAGUAUUUUAUUAUUGUUAUUAUUACUAUUAUAUAUUUAAAAAUAGAAAAAUAAAAAUUAAAUUAAUUUAUAUAUAAUCGGAGUAGGGCAAAGCGGGACAAGACAAUACUCGAACUCAUCCUAGUUUUUUUUUAAAAAAAAUCUUAAACCCACCCCUAACUUAUUUAUUUAAAUUUCAAAUAUGUUCCAUUAGGGAUAGUGUGAGUAUCUACUCGUCUCUCCUCCUUAUUUAUAGUCAUCCAAUUAGUGCAAAUUAAUACUUACAAACAGGUAAUAUGUUUUUUUUUUCUAUUCUAUUAAACCAAAUUUUUGGUGAUUUAUGUAAUGAAUGCUAAUAGGAUGGCUAUAAACAGGGAAGGCAAUGAGACGAGUUUUUUUGGGACCCAAAAUUUUUGGUGAUUUAUGUUUUAUUGAAAAAAAAAAUCUUUAAAUUGUACACAAAGAUCAAUUGAAUUUGGCCUAUUUGUCUUAGAGAUCACUAUUUUCUUUCUUAUAUAUAAUUCAUUAUUUGUCAAUUCUUUGGUAUAUAAUAUUGAUGUGAAACAUAAACAACAAUCAUGAUACAUGUGCUUGUAAUUUCUAAAAUUGAAAUUAAACCACAACAUAUUAUAAUUUGGGUAUAGUGAUCACGAUCAAGAUUUAGAAUAGACGACCUAUUUGACAUAAUUGUAUUAGUUUGGACUAAAGCAUUCGUGGCUUUGACUUUCUUCUUAUAAUCAUAGUCUGACCUAUUCUCACAAAAUACAUAAACCAACAUUGGCAACCUUGUAUUAACUUUUGUUGUAUCAAUCAAGUUCUCGCCACUUGCUUCUAUGCCAAAAACUAGUUCUACAUUUGGGGGUAUUAACAUUGCCUGCAAAAUCAGAGUAGGAAUUUUAGUAUUCAAAUUUUCACCCAAUUCAAUAUAUACAUAUAUUUUUCAAUUUAAAAUCAAAUGAGAUGAAAAUUACCUGAAUUAUACCAACAUGAUAUCUCUUGAGUGGUUUAUCUCUAUUGAUGACCAUGUUCCAGGCUAAUAUAAACCAUCAACCAUCCAAGUAGCUUUUGGAACUUUAAUGGGUUUCGAAAGAUUGCCCCUCAUCUCCAUUUAUUUCUUCUUUGCUCGAAGCUCUUCAUAGGCAUUAUAUGCAUUCGAUCUUCACCUUAUAGAUUCUAGUAAGGAGUUGAUUCUCACCUCGAGUUCAUCAUAUUCCCUCUUUACUCUCUUUCUCUCCCUAACAAAAUCAAACCUUACUUUGUUCUUCAAGAAGUCAUGUUUUUGCACAAAAUAUGCCUUUUUUAAUAAUGAAAUAGGUGUAGAGAAGUAUUAUUUUAUUUUUAUAUUUGACAUGUCAAAUUAAAUGAUAAAGAUAAAUAUAAAUACAUUAAUAUUUUAAAUUUUAUUAAAUAGAAUGUAUAUAUAUAAUUGUAGACCUCAAAAAUUGUCUCAAACCCAUUUCUAAUUGUGGUUUUUAGGCCUUUUUAUUUUCUAUGUUUUCUUGGCCUUUUCUGAUUGACUUGUGGCCUAAGGUCCAAGCUCAUUCCUUUAUAUCGAUUUUUAGAGAACCAAUCUAUACCCUCCAUUUUUAGGCUUCAAUCCCUAUUGUUUAGUCAAAAUAAGCCCUAAAGACCCAUCUUUUCUCUCUAACCGCCACCCUUAUUUUCCCUCUUCCUUCCUUUUUCUUCUCCCUUCUCUUUCUUUUCUUUCUUCUUUCUUCCCUCACCACAUCCACUGUACCUCAACCCCCACUAUCACCACUCUCAUUGACCAUCACCAACGACACCACUCCGACCAACAACCCCCUUCUUCUUUCUCAUCUUACCAUCUCUCUCUCUCUCUUUCUCUCUCUCUCUCUCUCUUACCACCUAUUUUCUCUUACCACCCCACCUAGCCUCUCAACAAGCCAAUCGAUGUCGACUAGUCAUCAAUGUCGCCAUUCCGAUGGAUUGGAGGCAAAGGUUGUUGGAGGCUUGGAGGACAAUAAGCAAGGGGGUUGUUUUGAAUAGGAAAAUGGAGGGUCAUUGAACCAUUCAGUCCUUGAAGAACUGCUCGAUUCACCCAAUUCAUUGAUCCAACUGUCGAUUCAAGUGGUUCAUGGCCAGUUCAAUAGCUAAAAGGUUCAAGAGAGGAGACUAUACUCAAAAGACCAUUGGUUAGUGAUCAGACCUAUUGGAUCGACCGAUCCAAUCCAGUUUUUAAAACAUUGGUCAAUAUAAUCAAUCAAUCAUCAUUCUUGAUGUGUUAGCUUGGAGUUAGUGAUUAACUCUUUUUCUAUGUAAUCAGCAUAGUGUAGGCUUUAGUAGUACAAUUGAAGACUUUAAGGCAUGAAUGGUUACACUACUUUGGCGAGCAUGCUAAUUAUUAGAAGAAUAGUUAAGUGCAUAGCCCUUACAAAGAUAUGAAUGGUGCACAAGUAUAAAUGGCAUCCAAAGGUGCACUAUGUUAUUGGUAUAAAUGUCAUCCCAAGUAUAAAUGUCAAUAGUUAAUUACACAUUUCAAGCCUUGAGGAGGUGCAUUGUGUGAACAUUCUACUAGCUUAGGUGAAAGGGUGCACAACUACUUGGCUUGGUGCACUUAACAAGCAUGCAACUUGAGUUGCCUAAACCGAGUACACAAUUUGGUCCAACACACUUAGGAGGUGAUCUAGAGAGCCUAAUGCGCUUGGUCUUCAGGGCACACAUAAGAGGUGUGUUUUGUGCUCUACGCUUAAGAGGAGUACACAAUUGAGUCUUGCACAUGUGAAAGGUGUGCAAUUUGUUUUUUCUCCCCAAAAAGCUCUUCCACACAAAAAAAAAAAAAUCUUAAAGCCUACAUAAUCCUCACAAAAUGCAUCAAAUAAAAGUUUUUAAGAUUCUAACAACAAGAUAAAGCAUUGGGUUAAUUCUAAAUUCUUGAAACACACUAAAAUGAGUUCUUUAGCACCAUAAAAGUGUUGAGUUUGAGUUCUUAUCACCUAACAACUUUUUUAACACUUUCAAUCUUUAUUCCCAAAGCCACAAUUGUUAUCUUUGGUGAAUUUACUAAUGGAAAAAAGAUUACAAGAAAGGUCGGCAUAUGCAAAAUCAAAUUCAGAUCAAGCAUUUUAGGAAUAGAAACAAAUCCCUUUCCUACAACUAAGGACAAAGACCUAUUAACUAUUCUUACCUUUAGGCUACUAGAACAUGGUAUGAUGAAAAUAAUUUAGUACAACCAAUCAUAUGAUUUUUUGCUCUUAAAUCUAUGAUAUAGGGAUCUUUUACAUUAGAAGAAACACUUAAGGCAUGAAGAAAUUACCUUUUUGGGCAAGGGAGCAUGAAGGAUUGGGAGUUGGAUCAUUUUUUUAUUGGUUAGUAAACAUAUGUAGAAGCUCUAAUUGUUCCUUUAUGAAGAGCUAAGUUCCGGCUCCUCCAAUGUUACUUGAUUGUGAGUUUUCAACCUAAAGAAAAAGGUUGUUUCUCUUUGGAAACCAGUUAUUUUUUAGUUUAGUAGGCUUCUCAUAAAUUUUCCAACAUGUUUCUCUGGUAUGUCUAGGUUUAUUACAAUAAUCACACCAAACUUUGGCCUUUUCUUCUCAUUUCCUAUAGUUUUUCUAACUAGAAACAAGGGGAGUUCUUCUCAUGAUUUUUCCAACAUGUUUCUCUAAAUUCUGACCAAUUUUUAGGCCAUUCAUCAUAAUAAUCCUCCUACUUUCCACUCUUCAUAUAUGCACAAGCAUCUCAAACAUAUGGGAGAGGUUCUUGUCCAAGGACUGUCCCCAUUGCUUCAUCAAGAUCCAAGUUUAAUCCUGCUAAGAAUUCAAAAACAUGUUAUUUUUCCAACAACCACUUAAACUAGGCAGCAUCUCUUACAUUCUCUCAUUCAACUUCACAAUACUGAUAUAACUCUUGCCAAAGACCCUUAAGAAUACAUAGUAUUUUGUAACACCCUAAGCUACCUGUUUCGUUUCACAGAUUCGAGUUUUAAUCUCAUAUACUUGAGCUGAAGUGCCUAAAUUUGAGAAUAUCCCACAUUUUCUUUGUUAUUGAUAAUGACAAAUAUGUUUGUCUGAUUUUUAGCUCCAUUGAGUUAACAAGCCAAGCCAUCACCAUCAAGUUUUCUACCUCCCAUGUUUGAAAUGCUUCCUCAUCUUCUUUUUCUAGUUGUUAUGUUGCUCCAAUGAGAUAACAAAAUUUUCCCUUGCCUCAAAUAAACAUGUUUUUUAUAGAUUGAGUACACAUUGCAAGUAGUUUUAUAUGUUUCGUUUGUGAGAUGUUUUAUGAAGGGAAGGAUUAGGUAGUAACUUGAAAUGCAUGUGGUGACUACUCAAUGUUUGACUUGGAUGUAGCUUCAUUACUUACACCAAACAUGAUUUUGAACAAAGUUGGAACAGGUUUUUUUUUAUAUGAAAAAAGAAGAAAUACGAAGGAACGGGCCGGGUUUACAAAUCAAAGUUACCAUGUAAACAAAUAUGGAUUGAAUAUGAAUUUUUUCAGUAUUAUUUGAGGAGUCCAAUUUGAUAUUUAUAGCCCAUACAAGAUGUAUUCAAAUAGGAAAGUGUACAAUUGUCAACCUAUUCUAGAAUAAGAAUUAAAUUUGAAUUGCAAAUGACAAUCCCAAAUUUAGCUCCCUAAAGUAAUGAAAUUUAACUCCUAAAAUAAUGCAAUUUUCAACAAUAAGAAUAUUACAAGGUAACCUUUUUUUAAUAUUAAAAAAAAAUUGGAAACUUUUUGAAUUCUUUUAGAUAAACUUCUCCUUCCAAACAAGUGGUAAGCACUUAUGCUUAGAUCAUGUCAUUGGUUCCCUAAGCAUUAAUUAUCUUUGAACUAAUAUACUUUUUGAGUAAAAGAGCAUUGAUUCCAAGGAGAUGGGAUGAUUUCCAAGAUGAGGUUUAGAAGCGGGAGGUAGAUGAUGAAUGGCAUUGGAAGUGGUGAUCAGAAAAUGCAGCAAAAGCUGGUUGAAAAUGUUGUAUUGUGAUUAACUAAAGAAAUAUGAAAGCAAAGUAGGCAUCAAGAGUGGAGAUCCUUUGAGAAAUGCACCCCCAAACUAGCCCCCCUCCUCAACUAGUUGCUUGUGGCCUAAGGUUGAGAGGGAAUCAAGAACUAGAACCGAUGCUUUUAACCUUGGGUUUAAGUUUAAUCUCUAAUUCUACUCAUAAAAAUAAUUUAGAAACUUUUCAUACUAAUUUUUUUGGAUAAGUUUGAAUGCUACCAAACUAAUUUUCUGUAGACAAAUAUGGAUGACUAAUAAAUUUUCAAAAAAUAUUUGAGAUGGAAUUAGGAACACAAUAAACUUUUCAAAUAUGAUGUUUUUUUAACCUUAUUUGAAAUUGAAGGAUGUCUCCAAAUAUCUAUAUUGAUGUGAAUCUCGAAAAAAAAAAAUUCUUGAGUUGGGUGCAAGAAAAUAAUAUGCAAGAAAACCUUUAAUUUUGACAUAAAUUGUCAAAUAUAUAGAUUUUAGAAAAAUACCUUAACAACUUUAAUAGAGAAUCAAGUACCAUAUUUUAGAGUACAUUUAGCAGUGAUGCUAGUAAGUAUUUUUAACAUUCCUAAUACUUCAAAUAUAAAAAUUUUCAAAUAUUAAAAUGACUAAUCAAUCACUCAUGUCAAACGCACUCUCAGUUAAAUAUCAAAAUGUUCAAUCUUUGUCUUAUGUUAGUUUGGUUAUUAAUUUGAUAGGUCCAAUUAAAUAACCCAUGAUAGCCUAGUAUUAAAUUUGAAGUUUUGAUUGACAAGGGAGCUAGAUAGAUGCUUUUAAUUUAAUGACAAGAUAAGUUUGUAUAGGAGUAGGUAAUGACAAAAAAAUUUAUUACAUGCUUAUCAUCUACUACUUUACCUUAGUAGUACAAAAAAAAAUUAUUGCUUGCUUAUCAACAAGUAUAUCAUAAAAGUAUUUAUUACAUGCUUAUCAACAAUGAAUUUGCAUUGCAUUGCAUUGGUGACUAUAUAUAAAACCCCAGGAACCAAGAUCAAAAUAGUGUUUGAAACUAUUUUUUGUGAACCAUCCUUGCUAGUAAGAUGAGAUUUUUGUAGUCGUUGUGCUAGCUUUUCUGGGUUUUAGUUGGAGAAUUCAGGGAAGGAUGAGCAAAUGGGAAGGAGAAGAAGAAAGAGACUUGGAAAAACAACUCAAGAUUUUGAACAAAGCACCUGUUAUGAGUUAUCAGGUCUUGCCAUUUGAACUUUGAGAUUUCCUUUUUUAUAUUUUCCCUUUUUUAGUGAGAUAUGCAUAAUAAUUACUAACAUAAAUUUGUAAUCCAACCUCUUAAAAAUGACUAUGCAUUUUAAGCCAAGGCUACAAGGGUGAAGGUGGUUCCAAGCCUAGCUUCUUGUUCUAAAAAAUUUAAAUAAAUUCAUAACCAUAAUCCAUUGGUUUUAGGGUAUUGAAGUUUAAAAUUGCUCUCAUUUGAAAGGAAAUAUUUAUGAUUUGAUGACUUGCUACUUAUUUUAAUGAUUUUAAAAUUAAAUAAUAUGGCAUUUAAAAUUGACAUAAUAUGAGAUAAUCCAAACUCAAAUGGUAAAUCUAAUUGAUCUCGUGCUCAAUUAGAUUGAACCUAAAUUGAAACUUUAAAUGCACUUAUGCUUUCACAUCCUUAAAAGUAUUUUUGGUUCUUGGAAAGUAUCAAGGAAAAAAAAACGCUAAGGAAAAUUAUUUUCUCAUAUUUAAUUGUCCUAUGAAAAAUAUUAAAAAAAAAUCAAAUAUAAUUAAAAUUAAUUAAAAACUUAUGCAUUUUUUAAUUAUUUAAUCUUUAUAUCGAUGAGUUGAAAUAAGUGAAAUGAGUUUGAAGUAUUAUAUAAAAAUAAUUUAUUAAUUUUAAAUCUAUUUUUUAUUUUCCUCAACUUUUUAUUUCUUCUACUUUUCCUCUUUAUUUUAUUUCCUUUACAUUUUCUCUCAAAUUUUUCGGGAACCAAAUAUAACCUAAAAUACGAAGGCAAGAAUAAAUAUUAAAUUGUAUCUAUACUUUAACUUUAUUAACUUUAAAUAUGAUGGAUGGAUAUGUAUAAUAACAGAUUGAGGGUCACGACAUUGUGGAUUGCAUUAAUAUCAGCAAGCAACCCGCUUUUGAUCAUCCAUUACUCAAAAAUUAUAAACUUCAAGUAAGUCUUUAAUCAUUAAAAUGAAGGUAUUUUUUUUUUUAUUCAAUUAGUAGUUUUUACCAAUAAUAUUUUGCCUAAAUGGUUGUAUUUUUACUAAUAAUAUUUUCUUUAUGAUAUGUUAAUAAAUCUAUAAACAGAUGAAACCUAGUUCUCUCCCUAAAGAAGUUACAAAGAUUGGAGAUUCCAUGCCAAGUAUGACUAAGAGAUAUAAAAGCAUAACAUGUCCAAGGGGAGCAAUCCCCAUCCGAAGGACUAGCAAAAGAGAUUUAAUAGCAGCAAAAGCUCUACUAUAUCAAUAUCGCAGAAAUACUUUUCCAUCUACCUCCAAAUCCCCAGGGUAUCAUGUAAGAAUACGAUUGCAUAUGUAUGAUUUAUCGUAUUCAAUUUAUAAUAUAUAUACGAAUAAUUAUACGUAAUUGUCGAGUUUAGUGAUUGAUUGAAAUAAAUCAUUUAUGAAUGUCCAUAUCUUAUGUGAAGUUUGCAAUAGCUAAAACAGUCCAGGACUCAUCCCAACAAUAUUAUGGAGCUAAAGUAGAUAUCAAUACACGUAGUGUGACGGUUUUAGACAGCCAAUUCAGCGAAGCUUUCAUAUCGAUCCAAAAUCAAUUUAAUGGUAUACAUCAUGGCUGGGCUGUAAGUCGAUGUAUAUCUUGAUCGCUCUCAUAUUUGAUAUAAUUGGAUUAUGGUUUCAAAAUUGAGUAAUGAGUCACUUUCUUAAGUACUAUACACAGCCUUUUUCGGUUUUUAUUCCCGUCUUUUUUAACACUUUUAUAUGCAUUUUGUAGGUAAAUCCACAAUUGUAUGGAGAUAAUCUUACACGAACGUUUAGUUCUUGGACUGUAAGUCGUCUUCAAACCUUCAUUUAUGUGGAAUUUUGUUACAUAAGAUUAGUGUGGACUGGAUUAUGAGUUGGAUAUUUGGCUAGCAAUAGGCCGAUGCUUUUGAAAGGACUGGGUGUUUCAACUCUUUGUGUCCUGGCAUCGUACAAAUUAGUCAAAAACAUUAUAUGGGCGAGGCACUGAAGAUCUCAAAAUAUGGCGCAUCUCGACAGUAUGUUUUGGACAGACUCAUUUUUAAGGUAAGACAUUUUAUGUCAGUAGUUAUUUUUUCUACGUAAAUUGCUAACACCAAUUUAUUUUCCACUUUGUUGAUGUAUUAUAGUGCUAUAUUGGUAACAAGUUUUAUGCUAUGAUUAUAGUGCAUCAAAAACCACUUCAAAAGAGAUAUUAGGAGAAAUUUUUGAAUACAAAUUAUCACUAUUUUCUUUGUUAGAGACAAACAACCCAUGAAGGAGUUAUCUUAUUUUUAAAGAAAUAAGAGGAAGAUAAAAAAUUAGGUCAUAUUUGCCAACUAUUUUCAAGAACAGUUUUCUACUCGAGAGAAUAGUUUUCUUUUCUCUAGAAAAAAAAAACAGAAAAACAUGUUUGACAAUCAGAAAACGAGAUAUUUUUAAAGAACACAUUUCAGUUGUUUUCAAUGUUUUCAUUUAGUUUGUUUUCAGAUAAUAUUUUUUAGUUGUUUAUAGUUGUUUUUUUAAGAAUUGUUUUAAAAAAAUAAUUAUAUAAAUAUAUAGAAUGAUUAAAUAUAAAAAUUAUUUUUAAAAUAUAUUUUAAAAUAUUAAAAACAUGUUAAGAACAUUUUAAAUUCCCAAAUAAUUUUUUGUUUUACAAAAUAUCAUAGUACAAUUUUCAAAUACCGUUUUCAAAAAAUAUUUUUUUAAAAUUGUUUUGGAAAAUAGUUAUCAAGCGGAGUCUUAUUUCUCAUAGCAUUGCUCUUAUCGAUAGCAUAUAUUAUGUCAUGAUUUUGUAGCUAGUUAUCAUGUGUACUUAUACCAAAUCCUUUGUUAACAUUAUACUAAAUCAUUUACAUUUUUCUAACCAUGGUAUUAUUAUGAUUAUUUCUUAAUUGUAGGAUCCAAAAACAGGAAACUGGUGGAUAGUGGGUAAUCCAAGGAGUAAACAAAAGUCUUUCAUUGAAUACUGGCCAAAGUCCAUAUUCACAACCAUGGCUGAGUUUGCUUCAGAGAUACAGUUUGGAGGAGAUGUUUAUAGCCCUAUAAGCGAGCCUGCCCCACCAAUGGGUAGUGGGGAUUUCAAUAAUAAUUUCAAAAGGACAUGUUAUAUUAGUCGCAUUCGUCUUGUUGAUUCAUCAAAUGCACUGUUCGAACCCGAAAAUAUAAGUAUUCAAGCAUUUACAGACAAACCUAGUUGUUACCAGGUGAGUUAUGAAGGAUUCACAGGUGAGUUUGAAAGAUAUGCUAUGCUGUUUGGGGGACCUGGAGGCCCAGCUUGUAAUGCUAAAUGAAGUGAAAGUACUUUUGGGUCAUGAAUAAAUAUCGAUCUUUCGUUAUGUCUUAGGAUUUUCAUCAUGGUUCAUUACACCAUUAUCGGUCAUUAUUAUUUUUCUUAUGUCGUUUGAGAGUAAUGUUCACUUGGAAACUACAAACGUAUUUAACGGUAAUUUUAGAAAACGUUUUUAAUCUUUUUUAAUACUUGAAAAUAACCUUUUUUUAAUGAAAUUCUUCAAAUAUUAAAAAAGUUAUAAACACGUUUUAAAAUUAUUAUCAAAUAAAUUAGAAGUAUUUCCUAAAAUUAUUGUCAACGAGCUAUAGAACCUUUAUAUCACUUUGAUUUUACUUAGGUUUUGUCUUUCUCUCUCUCUUUUAUUUGAAUUCCGAACUUUGUCAAAGAUUUCUCUAAUCAAAAAGCUAAUUUGUUUCUAGUUUUAUUUCUAUUUAUGGAAUACAGCGACAUGAAUAUGCAAACCCUAAUAAAGGAUGAGAGCUAUUGUAAUUUUUCUUGCAUUUCUCUCUUCAUUAAUUUUGAAAAUAAAAUUAGCAAAAAACAAGAACAAAGGUUACUACUUUGCCCACCUUUGGGGUGAGGUAGGUUCGAAGUCUAGCUCAUCCCUUAAAUUUGGUGGUUUAGGAUAUGUUUGAAAAUUGUUUUCAAAAACAAUUUUUCUUUUUUUAGGAACAAGAAAUAGACAAGUAUGUUUAAUAACCAAAAAACAUAAACAUUUUUUUUUAAUAAUAUAUUUUAGUUGUUUAUGCUUGUAUUAUGAGGAAUGAUUUAAAAAAUAAUUGUAAGAAUGCGGAAAUGAUUGAAAAUAAAGCACUAUAUAGAAAUUAUUUUAAAAAAUAUAUAUAAAAUAAGUUAAGAACAUUUCAAGUUUCGAAACAAACUUUUGUUUCAUAAAACAUCAAAAAACAAUUUUCAAAAAUAAUUCUUAAUUAAAACUUAUUUUUAGAACUAUUUUUAAAAUUGAUUUUGAAAAUUAUUUAUUCUAUAAUAUUUUGUAGAACAAAAAUGUACUUGAGAACUUGUAAUAUUCUAUUUUAUAUGUUUUUAAAUGUUUUUUAAUAAUAACUUUUAUACGUAGUUCUUUAUUUUCAAUUAUUCUUCAUAUUUGUAUAAUUAUAUUUUAAAAUAACUUUAAAAAACAAGUAAAAAUUAUUGAAAACAAAUGUUAUGUUUUAUACUUUAAGAACAAAAAACAAUGUUGUAUUUUCUUAUCAACAAAUAUAUUUUCUUAUUUUUUAAUAAAUGUAAUGAUGAAUUGGGCAUGGUCUUUAGGCUAACUAACCAUGUUUUUUACUUUUAUUUCAUUUUUGUUAUAUAUUUGCUUUUCUUUGUAAUGAUUUUUGUGAAACAUUUGAGUUAUAUUUUUGUAUAAUUUUGUAGAAUUUGAAAGCCAUGAAGCAAAAAAAUACAAUUUAAUGAGAAAAUGGUAGAAAAUGAGUCAUUGCAAAGGUCAUUUUCAUGCUCUCUAGUGCAUUUCACACUAUCAUAACAAAAUUCAAAUAAUCAUACGAAAUUGCUAUGCAAAUAAUCACUUGUGCAAAAAUUUGAAUCAUCAUGUGAAAUUUUUAUGCAAAACAUUUAGUUUAAUAGUUUCUUUUUUUUCUUACUAUUUUUCAUAACCAAAGAUAACGAAAGAAAAAAAGCUCAAAAAACUAAGAAAGGACAAACAAACCAGCCUUAAAUCGGAUUAUCAAAACAAGAAAAUGUAAUAAUUCGACGAGGAUUAUGGUUUACAAUUUGGACACACAUUUUCAAUACAAGACAUUUUCUUUUUUCAUGUAUGUAUAAAUAAAUAAAUAAUGUAUCUAAAAAAAUUAAAUAUAAAAAAUAAAAAUAAAUUAAAUAAAUAAAUUAAAUUACAUUAAAUCACUCCCUCGUGGUGUUAAAAAUUCAGUAAGUACAUAACAAAAGCAACAAACCACGAAGAGGGAAGAACAAAACUGAAAAAUGGCAGUGCUAAUCCAAAAGCCGCACGCUCUCCUCCACACACCAAUUCUCAUCACCCCCACCAAACCCAGACUCAGAAUCAAGUGCCAGGACUCCUCUGAGCCUCAAAAGCCCUCCACCAGUGCCCAACCCACUUCUCCAGGACAGGGCUUUGGAUCCGCUUCUUCAACUGUCAAAACAGCAGUCAAUAAGAAGAAAGAGAAGGGUAGAAGGGAGAGGGCAUCCAUAAUCCGUCGAUCACCAGUUCAAAAACCGGAGUUUCUUGGUGUAGAAGAACAGGGCGAGUCUAAGGAGCAGGGUAGAAAUGAGAGUGCUUUUCUUCUUGCUUGGCUAGGCCUUGGUGGGAUCAUUCUUGUGGAGGGCAUUGUUCUUGCUGCUUCUGGUACGCUUUCUUAUCUUGGAUUUGUUGGGAGUUAAUGAAAUUUAGAUGCUAAUUCUGCAUUCUGGGUUCUGGGUUUUAUUUGCUUUGAUUGUGUGGUUUCUCUUUCUAGGACCAAAUCUAAAUGAAGAACGGAAGGGGAAAGGAAAUAAAAGGAUAUGCGUUUCAUUUCCUUUCUAAUUUAGCAAAUUGUUUCAGGAAAAAUGAAAUGUCAAACAAUUUUUUUAUCCACCCUGUUGCCCUUGGUGUGAUCAGAAAAAGACAGAUGGUAAGAUUAAAUUUUAGAGAAGUUUUUAUAUGCUGAAGCGAUUUCAACCCAAGUUCCACCACUUUUAGGCAAUUUGAACAUGAAUAAUGCAUUCAGAUUCAUCCUAAUUGUCUUUUCUUAGUUCCAAAUUAUGGAAUUUUUUGGUUUUUUUUUUCAAGUCUGUCAUUUAAUUUUAUAAGGGAAGAAUAGAGCACUUAUGAGAUGUGAAUAAGAACAUGAUGGUCAUUUAGUUGGCAAAAUGAAAAAUGAUACAAAUAUUAAUCUCACAGACAAAAAAUUUGAUUAGCAAAAUAUAUCUCUAUAGCAUUGUCCUUUUUGUGAACUUAAGAAAUGAUAUGGUUUAGAAGCUCUGUUGAUUUGUUUUAGUUUUAUAUUAUCUUACAUUUAGGAAUCUGCAAAUACCAAUUUUUGUGGAGUUAUGAAGUUGAUUCGGGUUUUUCCCUCCCUUGAUUAGUGGUUUUUAAGGUCAACCUUUCAAUUGUUGUCAUUGAAUAAGUUUCAACUCAUUAACACCACUGACUUACACAUGAGGAAACAUGGCUGAAUUUACUUGCUUUAGCAUAGUUAAUUAAUUUUGGCUUGCUUGUAAUUAAACAGUUUUUAGUACCUUGAACUGCACUUAUGAAUGGAAUUGGAAACUAGGAGAUUUGAGGCUUGCAGGUUUAGUCAGUUGUGGAGGUGUGCUCUUAGGGUAUUUCUUGAUUGUUGACUUGUGAUUGAAAUAAAUGGAAAUAUUCAUGCAUGUCUACUGAGGAACGUCAAAUGCCACCACCCUAAAAUGGAAAAAGAAAGUGUUUAUGACUAUAAUACUCUGGAAAACAUAAAGCAAAAAUAUACAGAGAUGAGGAUGUGAAAUGACUAAAUGGAAGACUAAGAGAGACCUGCUAAGAUGGACUAAAAUACCAUCAAUAUACCUGUGAGAUUGCACCCAAGAAACUACUCUUGCAAGAUCUGAGUGAAUUCUAGCUGAAGGUUUCUGAAGGAAUGAUGAGCAGGGAUGUGAGUAUGCUUCAUUGGCAAAAGAUACACUUAUGAUGCUUCAAUGCCUUUGUCUGUAAUAGGUAGGUGCUUGGUUUGUAACAGGUCGGUAUGCUUGAAUAGAGUUUAUUUGGUUGCUAUGAGUAGUUGGGUUGGAUCACUUGGAUAAUGUUAAUUAGAGUUUGACUGGGGACACGGACAUGUACUUAACAUUUUUUUGGUUUUGUCUUAUCAAUGGCAUCCUAUAUCUAAAGAAAACAGAAAAAAAUUAAAAAAAAAAAAAGAAAAAAAGAAAAAAGGGAAACUAAUUGACAAUUUUCAUCAAUUGUGUUUUCCAUAGAAUGUGAAAAUUUCUGAACUUGUUUAUGUUAAAAGAUGAGCUACAUUGUAUCGUUAGAUGAUUCCAUAGUUUCACUAGUGGGAAGUAGGCUGUCGGAAAGGCUUGGACUAGAUCCUGCUGACUAUCUAUAAAUGUACCCUACUAGCUUCAAUUGUUAUAUGAUUCACCCAUCUCAACCUUUUGGUUUAGAAUCUAUAUUGCUGCUUAGGCUAUUUGGUUAAAUCUUCAUCUACCAUCCUUUCAUUAUAAGAUUUGGAUUGGACUCUUAAUAUAUGAUCUAGGCCUUCUACAACCAUAUGACUAUUUGCAACUUUGUCUCACAUUUAAGACCCAGGUGUAUUUAUGGUGCUUCAAGGCUCAGAUUUGACAGGCUUGUCCACCAGAAUAGAGUUCAUUUGGCUGCUGUAGAUAGUUGGAUUGGAUGAUUUGGAUCAUUCUAACUAGGAUUUGGAGAGGGACAUUGACAGAAUCUACCAUUCUUUUCCUUGAUUUGUUUGGUAAAAAGCUAGUGUCUGAUUAGUUCUACUGUGAUAAUAGUUUCUUUAGUUCUUAAGAUGGACCUUAGGAAAAGCUUGGAGUAGGUCUUUUUGAUUAGUUGUGAAUGUACUGCUACUUGCUUCCUUGUUAUGUCAUUCACCCAUCCAACAAGAACCUUUCAACUUAAAAUCUAUGUUCCCACUUGGGCUAUUUGAUUUAAGCUUUAUCCAGAUCUGAACAGGGCCCUUAAUCUGUGUUCUGGGCCUUCUACAGCCGGAUGACCUUUUCCAGCUAUAUUCUCACAUCUAGACCCCAGGUAUCAUGUGCCACAUGUUUGUGGUCAUUGACUUAUUCAUAAUCUCCUCCAGCCAGUUGCCUUUUGCAUGUUCUUUAACUUUUUAUUCUUCGAUAUAGGGGGUUUGUACCGCUGAGUUUCCUCUUUGGAUGAAAAUUUUUUUUUUUUUUUGCCUUAUUUUUUUCUUUACCUGAAAGGAAUAGGUAAAACCUACCUGCAGCCUAGCUUAACUACCAAAAAUAUUGUUUCAUGUCAGAUGUCUUGUUGGAUUACAAUAUUCUUUACCCUAGUCAAGAGGAUUUAAGGUAAAUCCUCUGAACUAUACUCAUAAACCCACUGAAAAGAUUCCACAUGGCUGCUUUCUGCCAUACUACUAUGCCAAAACAUCCUUAUGGCUUCAUCAAUAAUGAAUGAUUUCAAUGAAAUAAAUGAUUAUCCAGUACUCAGACAUAAAAUGCACGAUAGCAUGGGUACUGCCCCAAUAAGAGCAAAUAAACAUAAUCAUUGAAUUUGGCUUGGGUUUUUCCUUCAGCUCCUCCUGCUUAAGAAGAUUGACCAGAACCAAGAUGAAUUUGCAUCCUAUAAUUAGCAAGUGUUCCAAGUAGCUCCCUAACUUGACUAUGGAGCUUUAACAGGGCUUAUUUUGAUUUUCAAAUUUGUUGGUUAGACCUCAUGUUGCCACAGAUUCAUCUUACUAUUGCUUAGUAUUGACCAGAGAGGGUUCAAAUGCUGGUGAAUGGCAGAGGUUGUGUUAAUUGCAUAACCUUGUUGUGAUGGUUUGGGCUUACAUAUUAUUAUUAGUAUCACUAUUUAAAUAUUAUAUUACAUCACAUUUUAAUAUGGCAUGGAUCCACAUAAACUACCCAAACUAGUCUGAUAUAAUUCAAAUAACCAAUCAUUCCUGCCCACUAAUCAGGGUUGCAGAUGGGGAUAGAUGACAUACUCAAACCCAAGUUGGGCUCAGGUGUGAUCUGGGUUUGGGUUGCUUAUCAGUUAAGAUCAUAUACCCAAACACACAAUGAGCUCUUUUAAUUGCACAACUUGUCACAAACCCACCUAGUUCCCAUCCCUACAUGCUGCCUUUAUCAAACCGUGGGUGAGAAAACAUAUAAUGAGUUAAGAAAGGGAUGGAAUGCACAUAUGUGGUCAUCGCUUGGUGGCAAAACACAUGCAUAUGAUGCCUAGGCAUUAUCUGGGUCUAUUGAUGGUUGUGAAAGCAACUUCCAGGAAGAGUAACUUCAUUCACAUGGAAGAUGUGUAUACUUUUAAGAAAAACUGUGGUGAUGAAGCUAACAGUGUGGACACCAAACAUCUGUAAAAAUACAUUCCCCUCUUUUAAACCACAACUACAUGCAGAAUGAUUCUCAUUUUUCCUUUACACUUGUCCCAUCCACAUCCUAUGUAAGUCGAAUGUCAUUUCCUCUUUUAAAGCACAUUAUAUUCUCAGCUGUAAUGUGGCUGACAACCGUAUGGCAUUAGCCCUGACUUUGCGACCACCACAUACCAGACAAAUUAAUAUCUCGUCCAGCAUGAUUCCUAUAGAAUCAGAACUGAUUUGAUAUAAAGGAAAGAAUAACAAACAAGUGAUGUAUGUUUCAAUUUGGAAGACUUAUGUUGUUCAGAUUUUAACUUUGUUAUUUUUACAUCCACAGGCUUCCUACCAGAAGAGUGGGAUAAAUUCUUUGUGAAGUAUCUAUACCCAUCUUUCACCCCAACAGUCUUCUUGUUUGUUGCUGGAACUGUUGCAUAUGGAGUGCUUAAGUACCUGCAGAACGAGGAAAUCAAAACCCCGAAAUGACUUUUCAUGAAUGUAAACAAUACUUCCAGGUUAUAUGUUUCCAGGUUAUGGGAGGAGCAUCUCACUGGUGACCAUUGAGUUGUUUCUUAUGGACUCAGCUUCUACCUGCAGUGCCUUCCACUAUGAACAGAAGGAUGUAAAAUAGCAUAACUCAGACAGUUGGGCAAAGUGAAUACAACUCUUCCCCAUAUGCUGGAGACUUUUAAGUAGGUUUGCACACUAAUUGAGUGGUGACUAGUCUCUAUGAGGCUAGCUUCCCAUAUGUAUGAUUUUGCAUAUUUGCUUCUGUAAUUUGGAUCACUCUUUGGGAUUAAUGCAUUACAGUUUCCCUUUUUUUCUGGGUGAACCAUCAUCCAUCUCAGUUUUCAGGGGGUGAUAGGACCACUCAUUAUGAUUCUGGAGAUUUUUGCGAUAUUUGAAUGAUUGUGAGCUUGCAAUGAGCAUCUUAGUAUCUGUUGUGUGUUAGUGAAUUUGCUACAAAUGGAUGUCCUGGUGUGCAGAGCCAUAUUAAUUUGCAGGCUUUAUAACUCCAUAGUGUUGUUCUACUGGUCUGAAUUGUUUUUAUUUUUCAAGGCAACUGUCUGUUUGGCAAUUUUUUCAAAAAUAAUUAUCAAAAAAUAGUUUUUGUGAAUAGUCUUUAAAAAUGGUCUUCAAUUAUUUUCGGAACAAAUUUUUUUUUAGAACUUCAUUGUGUAAAAUAGUCUUGGAGUCUAAUUUUCCAUGUACGAUGCACAAGUUUUCAAAUUAUUAUUCAUCUUUUUAAUUAUUGCUUAUAAUACUCUUUAAAAAAAAAAAACUUAGGUCUGUUUGAAAACGUUUAUGAAAAUUGUUCUUAAAAAGUAAUUUUUUUUUUAAGGACAUUUUCAAAAGCUGUUAUAUAUGUAAUGUUUUACUUUCAAUUAUUUUUCAUAUUUAUUUCAUUAUUUUUUUAAAACAAUCUUUGUAGAAGAAGUGAAAACAACAAAAAUAAUAUAUUCUCAAAAAAAAUCUUAUUUUUUAUUUUUAAAAACAAAAAAUUAUUUUUUAUUUUUUAUUAUAAACAUGAUUUUCUAUUUUUUUUUUAAUUCUCAAAAACCAUGUAGCCUUAUUUUCAGAAUAAAAUCUGACAAAAGAAAUUUUUUUUUUCAAAAAUCCAUCUAUUUUUUAUUUUUUUAAAGUAUCAAAUAGGCCAAUAAUUUUAUGGAGCCACCACAUCCAUAGUGGGUGGACACUCUUCCACCUUUCUCCACUUCUACUUGGGUUGAUCCUUUUAUAUAUAUAUAUAUAUUGAUGAAGUUUAACAAAGGGUUUUUUUUAUUAAAAGGUUGUUUGAAAAUCCGAUUAUUUAAGUUUUAAUUUUUUUAUGAUAAAAUGUCUUUAUUAUUUUCUUUAAAAAAUUAUAUUUUAAAAAAAAUCUACGUGUAAAUACUUGAAAUGAUAAAAAACAUUUAUGUAAAAAAAUAAAUUAUCUUUUAAGAAAAAAAAUAAGAAAUAUUAAAUUUAAAAAUUUAAAAAUUAUUUCAUCCAUUUUAACUAAUUAAUUCUUUAAUAAAACUUUAAACUAGCUGACAAAACUUGGUGAUAUGUAUUAAAAAUAUUAAACUUUAAGAACUAUAUAAAUUUAAGCCCAAGGGUAGUCCAAAUUAAAUUUAAAAAUGUUACAACUAAUUAAAGAAAAUCAUGAAAUUUGCUGGAUCAAAUUAAAUUUGUCAAAAUCAUUACAUUGAAUGCAAAACACUGACCCUUGGGGAAGUGUUGGAGUCACCUACAUGCAGGACCACUCAAUCAUUAGAUGGCCUGCUACAAAAUAAAAAAAUUUAAAAAAAAAAAAUGGAUGUUGGUCCCUCACUUCCAAAUUCCAACUCAUUCAAUAUAUAAAUUGGCUAUCUCUCUCUUACUCUGAGUGCCAAAAUAAGAUGAUGGAGCUUCUGAGGUCCCCCACCCCCUCUAAAAUUCUUAUUAUACAAUACCCCUUUCUCCCUUCCCAUGCCAUUCUACUUUCUCCUCUUCUUUUUUUAAAAAUAAUUAAAUGGGUAUAUUUUGAAAAUUUUAAAACACUUCAUAAUGAUUGAAAAUGUUUUUACUUAGAAAAAAUUAAAACUUAUUUGACAAAGUUUUUAAAAACAAUUUUUUUGUUUUUAAAAACAGAAAAUAGUUUUUAAAAAUUUAUAACACUGUUUGAUUAUUGUUAUUUAUUUUCAAUUUUUUAAAAACAAAAUAAAAUAGAUAAUAAUUUCUUUAAAAAAAUAGAAGUUAUUUUCAUCCGUUUUUAAAAAUAAUCAAAAAAUACGCACAAGAAAAUUUUAAAAAUUAAUUUCAAAAUUUUAGAUAAUCAUUUAAGCUGAUUAUUGAUUUCUUUAAAUGAAAAUAUUAAGUAAAACAUGUUUCAAAAUAUUUUCUGAUAAAAAUAAAAUAUUGUUAUUAUUUUAUUUUAAUAAUUAAAAUUUCUCUAAAAAUGAUAUCUUUAUAAAUUUCAAUUUUAAAAUAAAAACUAUUUCUUAAAAUUGUUUUAUUUCCACAGCUAAUUAAAAUAGAAUUCAUUCCCAUGCCUUAUAAUUCUAAUUUUCUCAAAUGGGCUUUUGUUGCAGGUGGUGAAGAGAAAUUUUUUUCAGGUUCAAAAAAAAAAAUUCCUCCCUUAAUCCCUAAAAAAUCCUCCAUCUUGUAUAAUUUGUAUAUUAAAGUCUUAGGCUUUUAUUACUAAAUUUUGAAAAUCAUUUUUAUUAUAAAAGUUUGUUGAUUAUAAUUUAAACCCAAAAUAUAAUAUCUUAUUCUCAAUAUUUAGAUUGAAUUUUUAAAAUUAUUUCGAAAUUUUAAUAUAAAUUUUUUAAAUAACAUCCAUAUACUUCAUUUUAUUUUGACAAUAUAUUUUUAUUUUAUUUUAGCAUAUAGUACGAUAUAAAUUAUUAUUUAACUCAAAUCUAACUCAAUCUAACAUGUUCGAGUCAUUACCGACAUACUAUCCGAUAACUCAAAUCUAACUCAAUCCAACAUGUUCAAGUCAUUACCGACAUAUUAUCCAAUACUUGUCAAUUAAAUUCCAUCAUUAAACAUUAUGGUUGAAGAUUCAAAACAUCGCCAUCCCCAUAAUAUUGAUAGAGACUGAAAACCCUCUAAUCAACACAAGUUUUGAACAUAAAUUCAUCCUCCCUUAUUUAUGACUUAUAACUAAUAACUAAUAACACAACCCAAAUGAAACCGCUCAAGCAAUGACAAUUGAUAAAUUCCAACACACAUUCUACUCCUUUCUAUAAAUACUAUACCUUAUUGUCACCUAAUUUGAUUGGUAGGUUCUCCAUCUCUCUUUGGAGAUCAUCAAAACUAAAUAACCAUUACCCUUUCCAAUCUUAAUAUUAAUAUUAGGGUUUAUUACUGCAAGGUUUUGGUUCCCGGAAAGUAUUAGGGAAAGAGAAGAAAUAUUGAGAAAAAUAAUUUUUUAUAUUUGGUUUUGUUAUAAAAAAAAUCAAAUAUAAUUAAAAUUAUUAAUAAAUUUAUAUAUUUUUAAAUUAUUCAAUUUUUAUAUAGAAGAUUGAAAUAUGUGAAAAAAGUAUGAAGUAGUAUAUCAAAACAAUUCAUUGACUUUGAAUUUAUUUUUUAUUUUUCUUCAUUUUUCCUUUUCAUUUACUUUUCCUCUCUAUUUUCUCUCUUUCUCAUUUUCCCUCAAACUUUUCGAAAACCAAACAUAACCUAAAAGAAUACAACUAAUCAUAUGACCUUAUAUGUGUAUUUAAAAUUCAUUAUUUUGUAUCCUUUAUUUUGUUGUACCUUUAUUUCUCGAUUCGGAUUUUUUUGUAUACUUUAAACAGUAGACUAAGACCCUAUUUGGUAACUGUUUUAAAAAAUAAUUCUAAAAAAUAGUUUCUAAAAAUAAUUUUUAAAAAUAAUUUUAUAAUGUUCUAUAAAACAAAUGUUUGUUUAGGAACCUUUUCGGCUAUGUUUGGUUCUUGAAAAUUUUGAGGGAAUUAUAAGGGAUGGAAAAUACAAAGGAAAAGUAAAAGGAAAAGAAAGUGAAGGAAAAUAAAAAAUAAUUUUAUUUACUACUUUAAACUCGUUUUACUUAUUUUAACUUAUCGAUAUAAAGAUUAAAUAAUUUAAAAAUACAUGAGUUUCUAACUAGUUUUAAUUAUAUUUGAUUUUCUUUGAUAUUUUUCAUUAACAAUCAAAUAUGAUAAAAUCAUUUUCCUUUACAUUUUUUUUUUAGUAUUUUCUAAUAACCAAACAUAACCAAAAUGUUUUUAAUGUAGUGUUUUUCUUUUAAUCAUUUUUCAUAUUUUUAUCAUUAUUUUUUAAAACAGUUUUUAAAAAACACAUAAAAGCAAUAGAUAACAAUUUAAAAAUACUCUAUUUUUAAUGUUAGAAAUCUGUUUUUAAUUUUUAUGAUCAUUAAAAGUGUUUUUUCCUCUUUUUUUUUUUAAUGAAAAAUAGAAAUAUAUUUCAAAACAAGUUAUCAAAUAAGACUUAGAGCGUUUUUGCUAUUUAUUCUAGGAGUGUUUUUAAUAUUUUUAAUAUUUAAAUUUUUUAUUAUUAUUUAAGUGUUAAAGAUAUUAAAAUUAUUUUCUAAAAUUAUUUUUAAAUGUAUUUUUAAAAUCUAUUAAAUUUUAAAAAAUAUUUUUAACCAUUCUAACAAUUAAAAAAUACAAAUUUUUAAAUAUUAAAAAUAUUAAAAUCGUACCUUAAAAUCAUUACCAAAUUGACUCCUAAAAAGUUGAAUGGGGAUACCCUCACCAUUCUUUCCUAAUAUUAAUAGGAGAAGAUAGGCAUAAUUAAACUGAAUGAUUUUUUUUAUAAAAGUAUCAUUUUAAAAAUAAAUAAAAAUCCUUUAGGGUCAAGACAGAAGACCAAGUUUUCAUGCGCGGCUGCACUUUCCGCCGAUGUUGACUGCUAAUAAUAAUAUUUAAUUGAAAUUAGAAAAGUAAUUGGAUUUUAAUGGGUUCUUGAGUGGCUUCCAGUUGGAGUCAAAUGUGUUUAGUUUGCCGUCUGAGUCGUCUGACCAUUCUCCUCAAUUUGCCAACCUUUUGGGUUAGGGUUUCACGGUCUUCAACCAAACUGGGCCCAACCACUGAUUUUAUAAUAUAUAUAUUCUUUUCCUCAAUAUUUCAAAACAAAUAUUUUCCUUUUCAAUAUGUUUGAUAUAAUAUCAACAAACAUUCUAUCAAGAAUGGUCUAAUUUUUUUAGAGUUUAUUUAAAAUGUUUUUUUAAUAUUUUUAAUAAUUAAAAAAAAAUUAUCAUUUAAAUAUUAUAAAUAUUUCUAUAAUUAUUAUGAAACGCACACUUAAUUUAUUUUUAUUUAAAAAUAUUUAUAAUAAAAAAAUAUAUCAUGAGGGUUUGGUUGGAAACUAUUUUCUAGAAUAAUUUUUUAUUUUUAAAAAAAUAAAUAAAAAACAUAUUUGAUAAUAAAAAAAUAUUUUUUAUUUUCUAUUUUUUAAAAAAUAAAAAUAAAAAGGUAUUUUCAUAUNNNNNNNNNNNNNNNNNNNNNNNNNNNNNNNNNNNNNNNNNNNNNNNNNNNNNNNNNNNNNNNNNNNNNNNNNNNNNNNNNNNNNNNNNNNNNNNNNNNNAAAAAAUAAUUAUACAAAUAUAUAGAAUAAUUAAAAAUAAAAUAUUAUUUAUAAAAUUAUUUAAAAUGGAUUAAAAAUAUUUUAGGUUUUAAAUAGAUUUUUAUUUUAUAAAAAUUAAAGAAAUUAUUUUCAUUUUUUUUUUUUAAAUUUGUUUUUUUAGUAUUAUUUUUAAAAAUAAUUAAGUAGUUGUGGUGAGAAUGUAGUAGGUUUAAAGUUAUAUAUAUAUAUAUAUAUAUAUAUUUUGAGUCAUACAUUAUUUUUCUUAUUUUUUAUAAAUUAGAUUGUAAAAAAAAAAAAAUGGAAAGAGGGGAGCAAGGGUGGCAGGGAUGAUUGGUAGGGCAGUGAGUGAAACAGGACAAAAGUUGGUCACUUUAAGAAAGGAAAAGACAGAAAAAGCAUUCAAAAUAGUUUGAAAAAAAAAGAGGCCUCGCUGCUGUGCUGCCUCAUAACCCUCGCAGCUCAAAUCCCCAUAAAGUAGGUGUUGAGUUUGAUGGUUGAUACAUAUCCCACCAAUAUUUUUUAGUUAAUGUUGUAACUAAAUAAAUUGUCUAUGUUAAUAGAAAAUAACAAUGAUUCUCGGGGACUCGAUUUAGUGAUCAUUGGAGAGCAAACCCAAGAUCGAACCUAUUGAACUACCUCGGUUAACGAUCGAAAACUUUAUUUUCUAUCAUCAAUUAUUCUAUUUUUAAUGACAUUUUAUUAGAAUUCUUUGAUACUAUAAAUAAAACCAUUGAAGUUAAAACCACACAUACCAUGUUUUAUUUUUGAAAAUUUAAGAAAAAAUAGGACAAAAAAAUAUAAAAUGUAAAAUAGAUUUAAAUCAAAUAAAUUAAUUUUAUAUACUUCUUCAAAUUUAUUUUAUUUAAUUUUUCUUUAUUAUAUAAAAAUUAAAUAAUUUAAAAAUAUAUAAAAUUUUCAUAAUCAAAAUCAGUUUUUCUUUCUAUCUAUCCUUGGUAUAUCCCGAACCAAACGGGGCCAUAUUGUUAUGAAAUAUAUUCUCUAAAAACAAAAUAAUUGCUUCGUGUCCGGAAAAAGUGAAGCUUGCAAAAGGUAAGGUCCCUUUAUCGCAUGUCCCUAUGUGCUUUGCUCCUCCCUCUCUCUUUUCUCUUUUUUCUCUUUUUUCUCUUCCAAUUUUUGAAAAAAAAAACAAAUAAUACCAGAAACAAGAAAACAAAAAACAGAAAAAACAAAAACACGCCACCAGCACAAACAAAAAUGUAUUUUCCACCCCAUCUCCACCUACUUGAAAAUAUGGCGGGAAACACCAAAAUCUAUUUAGUAUACGAACAAAGUAUACGUAAAUAUUAUUACAUUUUUAACAAACUUAACUAACUUAACAACUACUUAAUUAUGCAUUACCAGGUCCCCAACAAAAACACCCCAAAAAAAAAUUCAAAUUAAAAAAAAAAAAGAAGAAGAAGAAGAAAGAAAUAGGGAAAUAUUACUGAUCCAGUGCGUUCGGGCCAGUGCAAUAACUCAGCACGUGGCUCCACAGCCACUGAACCAAGAACCGCCGUCUGAUGCCAUUCAUGUUGUACGUGGCGCCAUCCUCGCCGUCUAAGAGCUGACCGGUGUAUGAACCCCCACCGCCAGUGCCGUAAAUCCCCUCACAGAGAUCCGCAAUCUCCACUGGAAAAACUGGGUCCGUCCCGGCGUACCAUGCGUUCACCAGGGGGUUCGUUGCCAGUUCAGCAAUCUCGUGGCCAAUCACGCUUAUCAUUCCGUCUAUGCCUGCGUCACCGUUGGGUGAUUUUAGCGGUUUGAGGCCCGGGAUGUAAUCCGGUACGGCGAAGGGGUAGGCGCACAUGCCUGGGCAUAGUUUGGCGGAGUUGCCCACCCAGGCGUACGGCAGCGUGUAGCCCACUAUUGAUGGGAAGGUGAAGUAGUGGAAGCCACAGACCUGACCGCAGAAAUCCUGGACGUACACGUCAUCA